GACGAACGCUGGCGGCAUGCCUAAUACAUGCAAGUCGAACGCGACCAGCCGGUGCUUGCACUGGCGAAGUCGAGUGGCGAACGGGUGAGUAACACGUGAGAAACCUACCCUGGAGUGGGGAAUAACUCGAAGAAAUUCGAGCUAAUACCGCAUACCUUCUUACCGUCGAAUGGUGGUUCGAAGAAAGAUUUAUCGCUCUGGGAGGGUCUCGCGGCCUAUCAGCUAGUUGGUGAGGUAACGGCUCACCAAGGCAUCGACGGGUAGCUGGUCUGAGAGGACGAUCAGCCACACUGGAACUGAGACACGGUCCAGACUCCUACGGGAGGCAGCAGUAGGGAAUCUUGCGCAAUGGGCGAAAGCCUGACGCAGCAAUGCCGCGUGCGGGACGAAGGCCCUAGGGUCGUAAACCGCUUUCAGUAGGACGAAAUGACGGUACCUGCAGAAGAAGCUCCGGCCAACUACGUGCCAGCAGCCGCGGUAAU
rnacentral:rRNA from 1 species